UCCUGGUUUCCCAGGCAGUCCCAUUAGAGAGCUUCCUUUCGGAUAGCAACUAACAGCAAGGGUUGCGCUCGUUAAAGGACUUAACCCAACAUCUCACGACACGAGCUGACGACAGCCAUGCAGCACCUGUGUAACCGUCCGUAUUACUACGGAACCCAAUGUUUCCACCAGUAGCGAUUACAUGUCAAACCUAGGUAAGGUUCCUCGCGUAGUGUCGAAUUAAACCACAUGUUCCACCGCUUGUGCGGACCCCCGUCAAUUUCUUUGAGUUUUAAUCUUGCGACCGUACUCCCCAGGCGGAUCACUUAACGCGUUAGCUUCGACACGGAUUUUGCUAUGCAAUACCCAUAUCUAGUGAUCAUCGUUUACAGCGUGGACUAC
rnacentral:misc_RNA from 1 species